rnacentral:tRNA from 1 species
GGAGGAGUGGCAGAGUGGUCGAAUGCACCGGUCUUGAAAACCGACGGGCCUUAACGGGUCCCCAGGGUUCGAAUCCCUGCUCCUCCG